AGUGAACGCUGGCGGUAGGCCUAACACAUGCAAGUCGAACGGCAGCACAGUAAGAGCUUGCUCUUACGGGUGGCGAGUGGCGGACGGGUGAGGAAUACAUCGGAAUCUACUUUUUCGUGGGGGAUAGCGUAGGGAAACUUACGCUAAUACCGCAUACGACCUACGGGUGGAAGCAGGGGAUCUUCGGACCUUGCGCGAUUGAAUGAGCCGAUGUCGGAUUAGCUAGUUGGCGGGGUAAAGGCCCACCAAGGCGACGAUCCGUAGCUGGUCUGAGAGGAUGAUCAGCCACACUGGAACUGAGACACGGUCCAGACUCCUACGGGAGGCAGCAGUGGGGAAUAUUGGACAAUGGGCGCAAGCCUGAUCCAGCCAUACCGCGUGGGUGAAGAAGGCCUUCGGGUUGUAAAGCCCUUUUGUUGGGAAAGAAAAGCAGCAGGUUAAUACCCCGCUGUUCUGACGGUACCCAAAGAAUAAGCACCGGCUAACUUCGUG
rnacentral:rRNA from 1 species